rnacentral:misc_RNA from 1 species
GAGUGGUGUUUGGUUUGUUACGGGUGGUUGGCUCUUUGCUUGCGCAACAACUUCCACCUGGCAUACCUCUUCAGUCUUGUGUCAAUGUUUGUUUUGCAUUGAAUGCACGACGGGUUUCUUGUGUUGCAUGCCUAAUUAAUGGUAUCGUUUGAUGAAUUGGUUUCCCUUUUCGUCUUGCGUCGCCUAUGCGAUGUGAGAUGAACCUUGAAGCAGCCUUUGUGAUCCACACUUUUGAUGCAUACGCAUUGAUUUUGUGGCCCAUUAAGUGUUGCUCGGUCUCAUGGAUAUGGAACCUGGUGUGGGCAUGGAAUCGUAAUGGUUCCUUGUUUGCCCAAGUUUAGCUUUUUUAAAACGAUUUGUCUAUCAUGUGUUAGCGUGGUAGACUAUGUCGAAUAUGAAUG